rnacentral:rRNA from 1 species
GCCAAAAAUCUAGCCCCAACAUUUCACUUUUCCACUAAUAACCUAAAUCAAAUAAACCAAAACAUUUUCACAAUUUAGUACAGGCGAUCAAAAAAUUAAUUGGAGCGACACAAAUAGUACCGUAAGGGAAAGAUGAAAUAAAAAUGAAAUAAUUAUUUAAGCAUAAAAAAGUAGAGCUGAACCCUCGUACCUUUUGCAUCAUGGUUUAACCAGUUUUUAUCAAGCAAAAUGAAUUUUAGUUUGAUCCCCCGAAACUAGACGAGCUACUUCGAGGCAGCCUAAUGAGCAAACCCGUCUCUGUUGCAAAAGAGUGGGAAGACCUCCAAGUAGUGGUGACAUACCAAACGAGUCUAGUGAUAGCUGGUUUCCCAAUAAAAGGAUUUUAGUCCAACCUGAAGCCUUAUAAAUGUCUAAAAACAAAACCCUUAUACUUCAGAUUCAUUCAAAUAAGGUACAGCCUAUUUGAAACAGGAUACAACCUAAACUAACGGGUAAUUUUUAACUUUAACAUUCAAGUGGGCCUAAAAGCAGCCACCUUCAUAAAAGCGUCAAAGCUUAAAUGUUUAAAUAUCUAAUCUCAUAACCAUCUUAGACCCCUCAACUACCACUGGGAAACUCUAUACUAUUAUAGAAUAUAUUAUGUUAGAACUAGUAACAAGAAGCUUACCCUUCUCUUAAAUGCGAGCAUAAAUCAGAAAGGAUAAACCACUGAUUAUUAACAUACUUGAAAACCAAAUAGUAACACUUCAAGAAAACCCUAUUUAUUCACAUGUUAACCUAACACUAGAGCAUUUCAAGAAAGAUUAAAAGAAAAAGAAGGAACUCGGCAAAAAUCAACCUCGCCUGUUUACCAAAAACAUCGCCUCUUGAAAAAAUAUAAGAGGUCCAGCCUGCCCGGUGACUUAGUUUAACGGCCGCGGUAUUCUAACCGUGCGAAGGUAGCGUAAUCACUUGUUCUUUAAAUAAGGACUAGUAUGAAUGGCAUCACGAAGGUUGCACUGUCUCCUUUUUCUAAUCAGUGAAACUAAUCUUCCCGUGAAGAAGCGGGAAUAAAAAUAUAAGACGAGAAGACCCUAUGGAGCUUUAAACAAACUAACACUUGCUAUUUACUACUAUUUAUUUCAGAAAAUUAACAUUAAAUAAACCAUUUUGAUUACAAGUUUUCGGUUGGGGUGACCACGGAGUAAAAAAUAACCUCCAUGUAGAACGGGAUUUAACCCUGAGCCUAAAGCUCCUACUUUACGCACCAAUAAAUUGACUUCUAUUGACCCAAUAAUUUGAUCAACGAACCAAGUUACCCUAGGGAUAACAGCGCAAUCCACUUUAAGAGCCCUUAUCGACAAGUGGGUUUACGACCUCGAUGUUGGAUCAGGGUAUCCCAGUGGUGCAGCCGCUACUAAUGGUUCGUUUGUUCAACGAUUAAAACCCU